rfam:Capsella rubella cultivar Monte Gargano unplaced genomic scaffold scaffold_2, whole genome shotgun sequence.
CAACCCUCAAGAUCAAGUCUAUCUUCUUGAUAUCCCUUGAAUUGCUCCCAAGCCUCACAAAAUGUCUCGUUGUUCUUCUGAGCAAAGCUGGAUAUCUCAUUCCGAAGAUG